AUUCACUGAUGAUAUGAUGACGAGUCAGAAAGAGCACAUCCUGCUCUUGGUCCUUGUCAGUGCCACGUUCUGUGGUGCUUAGAUGGGUUCCUUUUGCAAAAGUGUCCUCCUCAUUGAUUGAUUAGAGACAAUUUGUCUGAGAAGG